GGGUCAGUAGGUUGGUCGUGCCACCGGUACGUACUGGUCUCACUGAUUCCUCCUUCCUGAAGAACCGUAAUGCCAUUAAUUUGGUGUUGCGGGGAAACAGGACUGUUACUUUGAAAAAAUUAGGGUGUUUAAAGCAAGCUAACGCUUGAAUACAUUAGCAUGGAAUAAUGAAAUAGGACGAUCGACCCUAUUUUGUUGGUUUCUAGGAUUGACGUA
rnacentral:rRNA from 1 species